GUCAGAAAUGCAUAUUUGAGUUUUAUUGGCAAUUUAUAAGGUUUUCUGUAUUGUACUAUUUUUAAUCUAAAAUUAGAAUAAUAUUGUUUGUUUGUUUUGGUUUUUUGAGACAGUCUCACUAUGUAGUUCAGGCUGGUCUUGAGCUCACUAUGUAGCUCAGGCUGGCCUUGAAUUCAUGGUGAUACCAACGGUUGUGAGGAGUAAAUCAGAGAAUGUGAACAGUGAUGAGCAUGGUGUUUGGUUCAGAGUCCAUGCUCAUCAUGCGUUCUCAUUCUUUUUCCUUCCAAAAUAAAUACUGUCUGAAGUAUUAGUGCAGCAUGUUUCUUAAAACAGAUCACUUGACCACAUUUUCAUUCCCCAUGAGCAAAGCAGCAACACUAUUUUUGUUUUGUAUCUAGUGAAUAUAAACAUGGCCACCUUAAUUUUGCAUAAGUAAAAGCUCAAAGAACCACUCGCUCUACCUACCCCCUCUUCCCUUCUGAUGUAACCAAGUGGGACCUAAGCAUUCCAGGCCUUUCACAGUGUCUUUUCAGCUUCAUCUGCCUCUGCCUUCCUCCUCCUCCAGCCAUACCACCUGCUGCUGCCCCUCGGCUGUGCCUUACUUGUUACCGCUUCCCUCAUCUCACUGUGUCAGAGUAGGACUCCCUUUCCCAACCCAUUAUCUCCCACUGGUCCUCAAAGCCAGGUCCCCUCUCAAAAGAGUUCCGCAAAGUCUUCGAGGGGACCACAAGGCCACAUGUAUUUUUGCAGCACCCAGACAUUGAUUACCUUUUCACUGUGAGGCAGAUAUGCUGAAGUUGAACGCACGGGCUCAAAUUGCUGGCACUUUACUUAGCACCUUUGGAAGCAGUGGCACCAAUGCACUUGCAUUUUUUUUUUUUAAGCCAGUUUCACUCAAAAAUGUUCUUGACAAAGGCAGUAAAAAUUAUUAACCUUACUAUAUAAUCUCAGCCUUCAAAAACAAAAAAUCUUUUUAUGUUCCAUGUGACUACAGGCGAAGUGUACAUAAAACACUCUACAGUUGAAUUGUGACCUGAGCAAACUGCUUUUCUCAUAGAACCCAUUUUUGCUUGAAAGAACAAUUGACAGACACAUUAUUGAAAUUUUAAAAAUUCAUGAAGUGAUCCACCUCCAGGAAAAGAAAUAAUAUUCUGAGCGAAAAGCAGAAUUUUGGAAAACUUAUACCUGCUACAGUGAGCAUGACAGCUUCCCAAUACUUACAUUCUUACCUGAUGAGACUAGUGGUGAUAACAAGUGAUUUUUGAUACUGUGUAAUGAAAUGCGACAAUAUUUGGAAGGUCUCUUUAAUUCAGUGAUUGCCAAGUGACCAAUGCAUGUUAUAACAGAAGUAUGCACUUAAAUGUAAAAGAGACCAGUGAGCUUCGGCACAACAGAGUACUCAGUUUAUUUGGUAUGAUUUUAUCUUCUACACUAUAGCUAACUUUUAAGAAACUCGCACUUGUCAGCUUUCUGUAUGUAUUGCAGAAUAGCCAUGAUUAUCUGAAAAGACUAUUAAAAUAUUCUCUCUUUUUCCAACUACAUGUCUGCAUGAGGCCCAGGGUUCUUCCAAGACCUCCACUAAAACAACCUAUCUCAAGAGAGAAACAAGAAGAUACAGUGCCUAAGGAGCUAGGUUUCAGUUUGUCUCCCAGUGUUCAGGAAGAGGUAUGUAUUAGCUUCCCCAUUGCUGGAACACAAUACCCUUAUCCACAGUUUAAAGAAGCAGAGGUUUGUCUCAUGGUUUCAGUGGAUUCAGUCCAUGGUCAGCUAGCUCCAAGGCAGAAAUGGCAGGGCAGAAAGGCAUGGCAGAGCAAAGAGUUUGGUUCAUGGGAGCUAGCCAGGAACAGUGCCAGAGGAAGGGGCCAGGGACCAUAUAUAGUACCCAAAGUCAGGCCUCCGUAACCCCACAGACAUGGAGGGAGCUUUACUAAUCUGUGAGGCAUUUCCUAGUCCAAUCAGGUUGACCCAUCAGGAAUAAUGAUCCAAGAAGAGGAUAGGCAUGGAACACCAAGAAAGAGUUCUGUAAUCCAUUGGUCAAGUUUGCCGUGGGCUCAGGGAAGAGGAGUGAGAAGUUCCCAUGGUUUUGAUAACCCUGGGAAAGGGUUAGGACUUGGGUUUUUGUCCAGCUCAGUAGUUCUCAACCCAGACUGAGUCAAGAAAAGAGCUUUAAAAAAAAAAAAAAGCUUAAAAAGUGCUGCACCUAGGCCCUGGAUCAAGAAAGAUUGAUGGAUUUGUCUGCAGUGAGCCCAAUGCAUCAGUACUAUUUAAAAUCUUUCCUGUAAGAAGAACAUGUUCAAAUGGGAAGGGAAACAAGGGAGGGAGGAGAGAAAGGGAAAAAAAGAGAAUAGAAGAAAUAAAUGGAAACAAAGCUUGUGUAAAUGGGGAGAGGAGGGGAAUGGGAAAAAAGAAGAAUUAAGAUAUAUUAUGUACAGGUACAAAUUCCCUAUGGUGAAUGUGAUUAUUAUAUAUGACGAACAUAUAAUAAUAAUAAAGUUAAAUAAAAC
ensembl:lncRNA